AGAAUCAACGCUGGCGGCGUGCCUAACACAUGCAAGUCGAACGAGAAAGUGGAGCAAUCCAUGAGUAAAGUGGCGCACGGGUGAGUAACACGUGACUAACCUACCCUUGAGUGGGGGAUAACCUAGGGAACCUGGGCUAAUACCGCAUAAUACCGAGAGGUCAAAGGAGCAAUUCGCUUAAGGAGGGGUCGCGGCCGAUUAGUUAGUUGGCGGGGUAAUGGCCCACCAAGACUAUGAUCGGUAUCCGGCCUGAGAGGGCGCACGGACACACUGGAACUGAAACACGGUCCAUACUCCUACGGGAGGCAGCAGUGGGGAAUUUGCGCAAUGGGGGAAACCCUGACGCAGCAACGCCGCGUGGAGGAUGAAGUCCCUUGGGACGUAAACUCCUUUCGAUCGGGACGAUUAUGACGGUACCGAGAGAAGAAGCCCCGGCUAACUUCGCGCCAGCAGCCG
rnacentral:rRNA from 1 species